GACGAACGCUGGCGGCGUGCUUAACACAUGCAAGUCGAGCGGAAAGGCCCUUCGGGGUACUCGAGCGGCGAACGGGUGAGUAACACGUGGGCAACCUGCCCCUAGCUCUGGGAUAACUCCGGGAAACCGGGGCUAAUACCGGAUACGACCUCAGGAGGCAUCUCCUGUGGUGGAAAGUUUUUCGGCUAGGGAUGGGCCCGCGGCCUAUCAGCUUGUUGGUGGGGUAACGGCCUACCAAGGCGACGACGGGUAGCCGGCCUGAGAGGGCGACCGGCCACACUGGGACUGAGACACGGCCCAGACUCCUACGGGAGGCAGCAGUGGGGAAUAUUGCGCAAUGGGCGAAAGCCUGACGCAGCGACGCCGCGUGAGGGAUGACGGCC
rnacentral:rRNA from 1 species